AAAUGAGUUGGUUUAAUGCGACUAAUAACAGAGUGCAGGGCAGGUUUUAGCCAUGCUAACUCCCGGCACAGUGUGAAAGCAGGAAACAAACAAGGCAAGGUCAAAGACCACAGGGCAUGUAGAUUUGUUAAUGGAACAGGAUUGUGCGAGAAGCUGAUGCGUGAAUUGGAGGAAGAGAGAUGUUUAAGGCUUAAGACUGAAAACCGACUACGUGAGGUUACACUGGAGUCUGAAAUCAGUACAUCUCAGAUGCAGGCGCUGCAGAAACAGUUUGCCAGGAUGGAAGAGACUGUAAGAAAUCUACUCCAGAAUCAAGGGGCAAGAGCACAGAGUGCAGGAACAGCAGCUGAUCUUUUAAAUGCUUGCCAGGCUAAGAUGUCAGAAGAUACAGAAGUUUCCAAAGAAACAACAACAGACACACAUGAGACAUUGGAUGAAUUCCCCAGCAGCGCAAUCAACAUUGAGGAACAGGAAAAGACAGUGCACCUUUUGGAAAGACUAAGAACGUUGGAGGCAGAAAACUCAGCAUUGGCGCUAGAAAAUGAACAUCAACGAGAACAAUAUGAACGCUGUCUUGAUGAGGUGGCUAAUCAAGUUGUUCAGGCAUUGCUUACUCAGAAGGAUUUAAGAGAUGAGUGCCUGAAACUGCGCACUAGGGUCUUCGACCUCGAACAGCAGAACCGCACAUUGAACGUUUUAUUUCAGCAGAGAGUUUGCCUGGCGUCUGACUCCCUUCUGCAGAAGCUUCACUCACGGAUUGUAGAUCUUUCAUCAGGCGACCUUUUCUCCACUGCAGAGAGGAACAGACAUCCAAUCAAGUCAAAAAGUACAGACACACAAAUUCAUGAAGCUCAUGCAAAUACACCAUCAAAUGUAUCGGUUUUAAAGUGUCAGAGUCAAUUAAAUCUGACAGUACCUAGCCAACUUUAUCCCAGGAGCAGCUGUAGUAGCAGUGAACUCUCUAUCUCAAGUGCCUGCAGUGAACAUUCAAGUGGCUCCUAUACUUGGAAUGAAGGAAGGACAUGGAGUAAGAGGUCAUCAUUAAACUGGGAAACAAGACUCAGCAUUGGCUCGUCACUUCCCAGCAACCUCUCUAGUCCUGCAGAAGAACUACCUCCAACUCGAGAAAAAGAAUGCCACAUCUUGGAAGGAUUAAAAAAGCUUCAGAAAAAAGGGUCUUUCUUGGAACCACCUUCACUUGUGUCAACAUGGGCUUACAAGGAUUGCAUGAACUCCAAUGAAGGAAUUUACUCACUUGGCCUAAGAUGUCGGAAUCGCAAUAAGGAUAAAACUCCUACACCUUUCAAGGCCGCUGAUAAAAUAGUAUGCAUAGAUCAGUACAAACCAUUUGAGUAUGAUUCUGAUUCAAAUGACGAUGCAGAUGAUGACUACACAGCAAUCAUAAUAAAUGAAGUGCCAAGUAAAGAUUGCAAAUCAUUUUGUAAAAAACUAACACACAGUAUUUCUGAAAGUCUGUUUGAUUGGGAUCACAAUGUUUCAGAAAGGCUCACACACCUAAGCUCAAGAGAAAAGCCUGAAAAGCUGACGAGUUUUGUCACUAGUUUACAGUCUAGUGACAAGUUUUGUACAAAUAAUAAGUUGCCUGCAACAAAACUGCAAUUUAAUUCUACCAAACUGCACUAUGAGGAUUUGGCGAUCCAGCUGUCUGACACAGAGGAUAUUGAGAAGUUGGAUGAAACUCAACUGGAAAACACUGAAAAGAUAAAUUCCUCUGAACUUGUAUCAAGUUUUUUAAGUGACAAACAGGCAGUGAGUCAUGCAAACCCACUUAGUUGUAAAAAAACAUUCUUCUCUUCUGCUGAUAAAGAUGAAGGCCAUUUUUCACCUUGCUCUGACAAUAAUCCACAGACAUCGAACUUACUGAAAGAUAACUGUCAAACAACCAAGUUUGUGAAAACAUCAUCUGAAGAAUGCAUCACAAUAGUGUUUGAUGCUGAAGAUGGCCAGCCAAUUAGGUUUAAUUCCCAACAGACCGCAAGUGUCACCCUGUCUUCAAAUCAGAUUUCCUUUCCAAAUGCUCCAGAUGGGAAUUGCCAGCAAACUGAUUUUGCAGUAGAUGACACUAGACUGCUGCCUCAAGGACUGAUCACUUGUCAACGAGGAAGUGAUGCAAGGAACCGUACAAUCUUAGAGUCACUGCAAGGUCACGUGCUGCAAAAUCCAUUAGAUGAUCUUAAAGUCGACAAGAAAUCAUUUAGUUCUGUUGUUUGUGCAGACACUGGAAAUUCCAAAAGGCCAUUAUCUCAACACAGCCCUCAACAGCAAAAAACAUUGAAGCCGACUUGUAGCACAGCUUCUACAUCAAACUCUGUACCAGCUCAUUCUAUUCAAAAGCCAUAUCUAACCAAAAUACCCAACAGAGGGCAGGGCUCAUCGCAAAAAUCCUGUCACAUAAAUGGAAAUGACACUCCCCAUUUGCCUGCACCAUUUGGCUCUCUUAACCAAGAUAAGUCUCCACCAGGUACAAAAGUCUCUAAAUACUUAAAAAUACCAAAUGUCAGUAUUAAUAAUGGUUUAAAAAAUGAUAACGUUCCAAAAUGCAGUCCACCACUUCCUCUAAGCUCUAAGAUUGCAUCAUGCAAUGAAGGAGGCAAGAGUCAUUAUGGGAUUUUACAAGGAUCUUUAUUUUCCGGAAAGCCGAUGGUGGAUCUUGGAGAACAUCCCACACGAGAUAAACAUGAUUCCUUAGAGUCGGAGGAAAUUAAAUCUCCAUCACCUUCACCUCCACUUCCACCAGGCAGAACCACUUCCUUGCUUUUUAGACCAAAUUGUGAACAUUCUCUGAAUAUAACUGCAAAAUCCAAAACAUCCACACCUGUUAUGCCAGAUAAGGAUGCACCCAUAUGUCUAUCUUUAAAGCCAUCGGGAAUCACUAGUGCAGCAUUGCCUGCCUCCCCAAUGACAAAGGAAACAGAAAAUCAACUAAACCAGCAGUCCCCAACAAUCGCUGAUUUGAGCAGCUCCCACCAUGAAAAAGCUGCUUUGCAAAACUCAGCACAUCUGUCACAGGAGUCAAAUGAAACCUCAAAUGAUUUGACUGGAAUGUCUUCUGAAAAAAAAUCUGUGAAAACAAAUUGCUCAAACACUUCAUCAAUGCACAUUGAAUCUUGUCCUCAAGCAGCUGCUAAAAUGAUUAAAAGUUUAGCAUGCAAUCAUGCAAACCAAAAGGAUCCCUCACUUCAAAACACAUUUUCUGCCAAAACAGGGCAAUUAUGCAAAAUUGACUUGACAAUGCAAUGCACACCAUGUAAGAUGUUACCAGCAUCGCCACAGUGCCAUGUACCAAGUAUAAAUGAACCCUCAGCUCAGCCACAGCACUGCCAGUCUCCAACCGGUUCUACUGAUAAACACCCAACCUUUUCACGCUUUGAAGAACAAAAACCCAAAACUCGUAUUCCUGUUGGACUUAAGCUAUUCUUGAAAUCACCACCAUUGUUGAGAAAAAGUUCAACUGUACCUGGGAAGCAUGAGAAAGACAGUAUUAAUAUCUACUCUAAAGGAAACGUAACUUGGGGAAAAUCUGAGCAAGUUGAUGUAUCUGAAGGUUCAAUAGUUGAUAAUGAGAAUGCAGGCAACCUUCAGGAUCCUCCUGUUGUUAAAGCAGGUUUACCUGCUGAACUUGAGAGUGAAAUGAAAUAUUGCAGAAACUCUACAGAUGGAAAUGAUGUUAAUAACAUGGAAAUUAAAGUGUUUAAGAGGUCAGUUUCAGUUAACAGCAAACCUUAUCUUAAACCGGCUCUAGGUAUGAACGGUGCCAAAGCUCGAAGCCAGAGUUUUAGCAAUCAGUCCGGGGAGAAGCCUUCUGUUUCGCUGGUGGAUGGGCCUGGAAAGGUGCGAACACAAAUUAUUACAAACACAAGUGACAGAGGUAAUUCCUUGACGUGGCAGAACUCCACCGGUGCAGCAGAAGCAAUGCAAACUAAACCAGCCUGUGGCUCCUCGGCUACCCAAAGUGCUUCACAUUCUCCAAGAAAAGCCGAUGUUUCCUACACACGACAGGUAUCAAAUGGAAGUAUAAGCAGCUCAAGUAGCCACCAUAGUAGUCCUAGCAAGUUGCCUUGUAGAACUCCACCAAAAGCUGACGGUCAGCUUAGUACUUUCAAGUGUAGUGGCAGACAGUCGCCUCCUCAAAAAGAAAGCAGAAGCCUACCUCUCAGUGAGAAGAAAAUGAAACCAAUGCCACAGAAAGGAAAAAACGUAAUGCUUUCUGGAUUUGAGUCUCAGUCAUCACCAAAUAUGUCUUCUGCGGAAAAUCCAUGCAAAUCGCAGAGUCCCUCUGAACUGAAUUUGGCAAAAGUUGCGAAAAAACAGGAAAAUCUAUCCAAAAGGCCUGAGAAUCCUGGCAAGGUACUCAUCCCUCCUUCUGUUGCUGAGACACAAUGCAGCAUUGAAGCAAAAGUCAUGCUGGGAAUCCAGGAAAAUAUGCAGAAGUUGCAACAACGGGGCAAAGUUCAGUUUUCAGAAAGUAAACAGAAGACGGGGCCUUCAAUAGCCAAAUGGUUUGGUUUCCGAAAGAGUAAGUUGCCAGCUCCCAAUAGCAAAAUGUCUGAUGAUUCUAAAUCCAAGGAUGAGAAAAAAGCAACCAAAAGUGGAACCAGUUCUGGAAUCAAGCAAACAAAAUUCGAUAAGAAAAAGGAUAAAAGAAAAAAUGAAACUGGAUGUGAAAGAGAGAAUGAUGUCACCAAAAGAGAAUCGCAUUAUGUCAAAAAGUUAGAACAUGAUUAUCCAAGUAAAGGUUCUGAGUUCACAACCCAGGAAACAUACUACAGUAGAAAAAUAAAUCUUGCAUCCAAACAUCAAGGUUUUAAAGAUCACAAUAUUCCCACAAAAGAGUCAACAAAUGAUGAGUUCAUGCAAGAGCUCUUGCACAGAGUUGAUAAGAAGGCUGCUCAUCAGAAGGAAAAUGCAUCAAAUCAUGUUUCCCCCAGAAACAUGUCUAAGGGCAUCUCCCAUGGCUCCGCAUUUCCUAGCAGCUCUACCAGUGUUCUGGCAAGCCAUGGAAAGAAUUACAAAAUGAAACCACCUACUGAGAUUCCAAAUGAAAUUCAAAAAGAUUUGAAAAUGGAUUCUGAGUGUGUAGUUAGUGCAAUUCCACAUGAAAGUUACGUUGAAUUGUGGCAUUUGAGUGAGUCAUCUCCUGGGAAACUCUCUGACUGGCAAAGUUUAAAAUAUCAGAACCAAGUGAAUGAACAGAUAUUAAGUGGCAAAGUGGAAACAAAUACAAACUUGGAAAGCACAAAGGAAGCCAUCACCGAGUCAACAAGUCACGAUCAAAUCAUAGGAUCAAGUUGCCAGAUGAGAACAUUGGACAGUGGAAUUGGGACAUUCCCCCUCCCAGACUCCGUGAACCGGGCAACAGGGCGACACGUUACCAAAACAUCAUCCUGCCUUGAUUAUGAGCUUUGCUCCUCCCUGGAAAAGAUGCCAUACACAGCAACAGUUUCUCAGAAAGCAAAAACACUUGAACGAGAAGUGCCUUGCAGUGCUGAAUGCAGCAAUCCUCGGCCAGAAAUGAUUGGCCACUCAGCAUCAGACCCCACGAUGGUUGCUAAACCUGCGCUCGCAUUUCCAAGUUGCCUUCCCAAGCCAUCCAGCGCAGGUUUCCUUGUUACUAAAUACAAAAUGCAAGAUCGUCUAACUGAGGGUUGCAGUCCAACCCAAUGUUCAAACGACUGUCAAAGUGAACAUUCCAAGUUGUCAGAGAAAACAAGGAAUUUGCAACAGCCAAGCUGUUCCCUAAGUCUGAGUGCACAGGAGCAAGCAAUGCAUCUGUGUUCAUAUUCUGCCAGAAGUAGUGACAAUGAAACAGAAGCUGAACUAGAAUCAGUGGAGAAUGGCACUGGUGGUAACGAAUUAUUCAACAAACUGACACACAACAAAACUGGAAGUCAAUGGCAACAUAUUGACAAACGAUCAUGCUUUGGAAACGAGCCGAGAGUUUUUACUUUUUACCAGCCAAACCUAUAUGUGCAUUAUGGAAAGGACAUGCCACAAUUCAUUGUGAAGCAGUUACAUGGUGACUUCAAUAAGGAUGAAAAUGUUGAUGAUAUUCCAAGUUGCCAGUAACAUAUUUGAAGGGUUUCUGAAUUCUCUCCUCCAACUGCACUCAGGUAUUAAAUCCAGGUUCAGUUAGAUUACUACGCUUCCUUUUAUGAAAGUUUCUCUUCUUGUGCCAGCCACCAUGUUUUGCCUAUAGCACCCCGCAUUGGCUUUAUUUUUGUUUAAAAUGUUCAUUAGCCCAAUUAGUGUUACUAAAUGCAAAUUAUUGAAAGGAUGUGACAAUUGCCUUUUUCACUGUUCUUUUUAGUUUCUUAGUUAAGUUCUCUGUAAAAGUGUAUGUAAAUCUUAUUUUUGUGUUGUUUUUGGCUAUGCUUUUUUGACAUUUUUGCUUUCAACAUUUAUGGUAGAGACCCCCCCCCCCCCCCUCCAUUACUCACACACUCAACGCUUCAGGAACAGUUUCUUCCCCUCCAACAUCAGUCUUCGGAAUGGAAAUGAAUCUAUGAACACUACCUCAUUAUUUUUCUCUCUCUUUUUGCACUAUUUAUUUAAUCUAUUUGUGCAUUCUUCUUACUGUAAUUUCUUAUUGCAAUCUACCUGCUGCCACAAAACAACAAAUUUGGUAUUAUGAAAGCUGAUUCUAAUUCAGAUUCAGUUACAUCCAACUAUUCCAACAGAAUCUGUGAUAAAUCCUUCAGAAUUUGAACAAAAACCCUCAGCAAAUUUGCCCCAAUAUCUAUGAAAACUUUUGAAGUUCUGGAAUAUUGGAUCUCACUGAACAUCUGUUGUUUUUUGGUGAACAAUCUUGGAUCUGUCAUAACAAACAGUACUACAACACUUCAAAAAAAAUCUAAUUACGAUUUAAAUACAGCAUUGAAAUCUUUCUCUUUUGUUCAAAGAUUUUACAUCGUUCUUUUCCUUGCCUCUCCCUUUGAUGGAAUGUAUUUUCGACUUUCUGCUUAGCUAGUUUAAUAUGGCAAUGGCCUUAUGAAGUAUUCCAUUGCUUCCAAUCUGCUACAUACCUAGAUUUCUCUCUCUGUUUUAUUGUGCACUCAUUUAUGUUGAAACUUAGACUCAUUAGAUAGUAUCUUACUCCAGUGUCUUCUUCCAGCAUUUUCAAUCUAUGGAUACAAUAUUAUUUUUAAUUUUGCUUCCUGCAAUCUUCAAGGUUAUAAAAUGUAUAUUUUUUAUCACCAAUUCGUUGCUCUUUCAUUAAUCUUAUAUAGUUUGACCUUGAAAGUAAGCUGUAGCACAGACUUUCCCUUUAUUAGUUUCUCAAUGAAGGGAUGAUUAUGCCUCCAGAGAAGCAUGAUAUCAUUUCUGUGAGAUUACUUUUACUUUCUACAGUAUUACCAAUCUGUUAACCAAGCAUCGUUUCUUUAGUAAUGACUGUAAAAAGGUAGGAAUCUAACUAAAAUUAAAUGCAUGAUGGAAAUCAAAUGAUAACGGCUUUUAACUUUCUAUGUAUCCUUGUUUUCAUUUCCUAUCAAUCAAUCAUCUAGUAGUUGUUCACCUCUCUCAUAUAUACAUCUAUUAAUUGUAAAUCCUGCUUGUCAUGUCCUGUCAUCAGUAAUAUAAAAAUAAUACAGGAUGAAACAUUUUAUUUUAUUGGUGUUUAAUAUCAAAAAUUCUGAUCUUUACUCCAUAUCCAAACAUGAACCUCUGUUAUAUCUCACUUGGUGUGAAGUAUUAGUUAUUUUCAUGUGUUCUUUUAACUCUACGAAGGUGCCAAUGUAGUGUGGCGGUUAGCAUGAUCUAUUACAGCUCGGGGCAUCGGAGUUCAGAGUUCAGUUCUGGCAUUCUCUGUGAAAAGGUUCGUACAUUCCUCCCGGGAGAGUGUGGGUUUCCUCCCACAGUCCAGAGAUGUACCGAUGCUGCCUGACUUGCUGAGUUCCUCCUCCAUUUAAUGUGUAUUACUCAUCAUAACAAGCUGCAUGUCUUUGAUAUGUGAAAGGGAACAACAUUACUCAGAAGAAACCUCUCCAGUUACAGGGACAACGUGCAAAGUGUACACAAACAGUACAGGAAGUUGGCUUUAAACUCAGGUCACGGUGGCUAAGAGGCAGUAAUUCUUCUCAUCAUACCACUCUGCUGCCCAAUUCAUCUUCAACUAUUUAGCUGUGGCAAUGGAAUAUUUAACGUACUGCUGGUGAUAUUAAACCUGAUUCUGAUUCUCUGUGCAAAAGUUUAAUUAUAUAUAGCGAGGGUGGAGUUUCAUGGGAAGAGUGUGGGGGCGGGCAGGUGGCAGAGAAGAAAUGCCAAGGGUAGAGAGUGGUGAGUGUGCAGAUACACCCAGCCUUGAGGCACCAGACAAGGUCAGUUGAUUCCAAACAAUUCGUUUAUUGAUCGUUAUAGAAUGUCCCUCUGGUGCUUACUGCUCCCUCCCCUCUCCCUACCCCUUUCCCAACCAUGAUGCUCUUCUCUGUGUCCCUCCCACUCUCAGCCCACAAUAAAGACCCAUAUUGGAAUCAGCUUUGUCAUCACUCACAUGACAUGAAUCAUUUUAUUUUCCAGCAGCAGUACAGUGUAAUACAUAAAAUUACUACAAAACUGUGCAAAAACCUUAGGCACCCUGUGGGGGGGGGGGGCGCGGGGUGUGUGUGAGUUUUGUAUUGCUCAACACUGCUAUCAUGUUUGAAUACUUGAAGACAUCUUGUCAGUUUUGAACAUAAAUGUUUUUGUAACACAAAAUCAAUAAGCAGUAAACUGACCAAUAUCUUUCUUACACAGUCCUUUACAAUUUUUUUUUGUUAAAUUUACGAAUUUUCAUGGAAUUGUAGAGUAUGGAACCACAAAAUGCCAGCUUGCAUUUAGCUCCUUCAUCCUGUGAAUCGGGUGACCAGCUCAAGUGAUUCAGAAAAAUAGUUAAAAUGCAACCUGUCGCUGCUGAAAUGUCUAAUAAUGAACCUGUGAGUUGGUCAAAUAUACACAGCUUUCAAUUGGAAUAAGUUAUUCUCCUGACAGAAGCAUUCACAAUUGGAGAGCACAAGUUAAGGUAAGGGUAAUAAAUUUGGUUGAAUUCUGAUGAGAUAUUUUUUCACCUCUGGAAUGUACUGUCCAAGAAGGUGGUGAAGGCAGGUAAACCCACAUCAUUUAAGAAACUUGUAGCUGAACAUCUGAAUUGUUUCAGCAUAAUAGGUUCCUGACCACAUAUUGCUAAAUUGACUAUCAACUGGUACUUGCUCAUGAUAGGCUGAAGGACUUGUUUCUGUUUUGUAUGAUACCACCAUAAUCAGGUAGAAUUGAAGAGUAAAUCUGAGAAUACACUAAAAAAUGUGAGGUUCCAACAUUUGUUUCAGGGAAUAAUUAUGGAAUUUAACAUUGAUUUUGUAGUUUUUUCACCUAUAGUCUUAACCUUUAAAAUGUUUUUAAUUGAUUGUUUGGGGCUACAAAUUUUUAUCUUGCACUAAGACUGCCUAUUUAUAUGUAUUUCAUUGUGAUUUAAUAGAUUGAAUCUGAUGACUGUAACAUGGGUCUCUGUCAGAUCGUGCCUGACCCAAAAGUAGUUAUAAGAGCACUUUGACUACCGAAGUCCAAGUACUGUAUCAUCAUUGCCUCGAUCAAUAAAUUAAUUAAAAUAAAGAAAGUUUUUGGCCAGAAUUUUUGGGAGAGGCAUGACGCCUGCACUUGCCACUUAACCACACACAAAACCUCGAUUACUUUCAAUGGCUUCUCUGUUAAGAACUUCCUGAAUCAAACUUAAUCAACAAGGCCUUACAGAGCAGUUCAGGUAGCAUCUAUAGGUCUGUGGACCCCGCCCCCGGAUAAUAGUAGGGGUCCAUGGCAUAAAACGAUUGGGAACCCCUGGUCUAUAUGAAGAGUUGAUGCUGAAAUAAAAGAGAUAAUGUAAACACUGAGCAGUUCAGAGAGUGUCUAGAGCAGGGGGUCCCAAACUUUUUUAUCCCAUGGACCAAUACCAUUAAGCAAGGGCACUGUGGACCCCAGGCUGAGAACCCUGCCUAGAGGAAAAGUUGAUGUCUCAGGUUGGAAACUGGUCAACUGAAACAUUGACUUUCUCUUUCCACAGAUGACCUGUGACUUGUUGAUUACUCAUUUCCUGUACUUUGUUUUCAUUUGAAGUUGAUAGAUAUCUUGCACUGAAAUGUUCAAAAACUGAUUAAAAAAAUUACUUGGUAUUAACAUUUUAAAAUGUAAAAAGAGGAAAACACCAGAAACAAAUAAAAUCAUAUAAUUAAAUACCAUUAAAUCAUAAUAUACUUGAAACUAAUCCCUUGGCUUUACAACAGUUAGCCCUCCAUUGGAAGGAACUAAGAUUAGAAUCAGAAUCAGAUUUAAUAUCACUGACAUAUGUUGUGUUGUUAUGCAGCAGCAGUACAUUGUAAUACAUAAUUAAAACUGUGAAUUACAGUUAUACACAUACAUUUACAGAUAUACACAUACAUUUUAAACAUUGAAUUAAAUAAGUAGUGCAAAAAGAGAAAGAAGUAUUGAGGUAGCAUUGAAGUGUCCUGCUGAAGGGUUUCAGCCCAAAAUGUCGACUCUACUCUUUUCCACAGAUGCUUCCUGAGCUGCUGAGUUUCUGCAGCAUUUUGUGUGUCUUCCUUGAAUUUCCAGCAUCUGCAGGUUUUCUUUUGCUCGUGAUUGAGUUACUGUUCAUAGGUUGCUGAACCUGAACAUUUUUAACUUGGUUGAGGACCAGUAGGCAGGUUUUCUAGUUCAGAAACUGUGGGAAGUUGGCUGUCCACUGCUGGAUUUCAUGGGGAAACCAGAGAAGAAAUGCUUUUGAAAAAAACCUGCUAGGAUGAUCAGGAGUAAGCAGCUCAGCAAGAGCCCUGAACGAUUGACUGUAUACAUCGGCAGAAACCACAGGCAUUUCUCUGCAAAGUCUAGGGCAGGGGUUCCAAACCCGAGGUCUUCAGACUCCUUGGUUAAUGGUAGGGGUCUAUGGCAUAAAAACGGUUGGGAACACCUGCUGUAGGGCAUUACUCCUGAUCAGCAGAUCAGACAGCAUCUAAUGCAUCAACAGGGCAUUAAAUGGUACCCACCCUGCAGAGUUCCUCCAGUACUUUGUGAGUGCUGCUCAUUAUUUCUUCCUUUUACUUUAAAUCAGGGCUUCCCAGUCUAGGGUCCAUGGACCCCUCACUUAAUGGUAGGAGUCCAUGGCAUAAAAAAGGUUUUGAAUCCCUGCUUUAAAUGAUAAAAUAAAAGAGUUAUUUAUUUAAAUUUAUGUGAUGGCGUUUUGAAGAAUGAGAUGACACUCUUAAGAAGCUGGUUAGAGGUUGGGUUGGUUUGACUAAUGGAGGAAUCUGAAACAAGGGGAAAACUGUAAAGCGAAGGGUCAGGAUUUAAAACUGAUGGACCGAGAAAUUUCUCUCGUGGAUCUUUGGAUCUCUCUGCCCUGAGGCCAGGAUAUUACAGGUGUAUAAAAUAAAGGUGGAUGAAUAUCUGAUAAAUCAAGGAACAGAAAAUUACAUGGAAUUAAAUGGGUAAAUUUAUUAGUAAAUUGGUUUAUUAUCAUCAUGCACUCAGUGUCUUCCACACAGAUCAUUUCAUCAGCUCAGUCCUUUGAGGUAGUACAAGGGAAAGCAAUGACAGAAUGUGAAAUAAAGUGUCAGCUUUACACAGCAAGUGCAGUGCAGGGGGACAACGGGGGUGGGGGGGUCAAAGCCAUGGUGAGGUUGAUUGUGAUGUCAAGAGUGUAUCAUAUCAUACAAAAAGUCCAUUUAAUAGUGUCAGGGCAGUGGGAUAGAAGCUAUUCUUGGAUUGAACGGCAAGCUUUCGUAUCUUCUGCCUGAAGGGAGUGGGGAGGACACAGGUUGGCCAAGGUGGGUGGAUUCUUUGACAUCUUUUUGGAGUCACCAAGAAGUGAAAGGAGAGCUCGUGGAGGGAAGGCUGGGUUCUGUAGUGUGCUGAGCUAUGACCACAACUCUCUACAGCUUCUGGCAGAGGAGUUGAGCCCAGUGCAGAUUAGCCAUGAUCAUAUUAAAAGAUGAGGCGGAUUUGAAGGCCCCAUGUUUUCAAAGUAUUUGAUAGAUAUUUAAAGAUGGUUUGGGGGUGGCUACUGAACAGGACUGAAAGAAGCUGCUUAAGGUUGUAAUAUUAGUCAGCUCUUUCUUGGGUACUAGCCUUGAAAGUAUGCAAGACAUUUUCAAGGGGUGGUGUCUCAGAAAAAUGGUGUACAUUAUUAAAGACCAUUCUCACCCAGGACACACCCUCUUCUCAUUGUUGCCAUCAGGAAGAAGACACAGAAGGCUGAAGGCACACACCCAGUGAUUCAGAAACAGUUUCUUCCCCUCUGCCACCCAAUUUCCAAAUCAACAUCGAAUCCAUGAACACUACCUCAUUUUUUAAUUAUUAUUUCUGUUUUGCACCGCUUUAAUGUAACUAUUAUAUAUAUAACCUUACUGCAAAUGAUUUAUUAUUUUUAUUAUUUUUCUUUCUAUGUUAUACAUUGCAUUGUACUGCUGCCACAAAGUUAACUAAUAUCACCACACAUGUUGGUGAUAAUUAACCUGAUUCUUCUGAUGAUUGUGACAGGACAAAAUCAGGGCAAUAAACACAAUUGGAUUAUUUAACCAGGGUGGCUAAAAUGGUUGAAGUAAUCCAGCCUUGUUUUGGAAUAGACAUGCAAUUUGAACCAUGGAUGUUGAAGAAGGGUCUAGGCUUGAAACGACGACUGUUUUAUUUAUUUCCAUGGAUGCUGUCUGACUGGCUGAGUUCCUGCAGCAUUUGGUAUGCGUUACUCUGAAGCGUUGUGUGAUUGACAGAGGAGUAAAUCUGUUUUUAUAAAUCGGUGAGAUGAUUAUUCUCCAGUAAAAUUAAAUGAAGAGCCCCUCAUAAUAGAAGUGAACAGGUGUGUAAGUUCUAUCCUAAAACUUGCUGCGUUUUAUUGAAAAUUGAUUAGGAAUUCUUAUUGAAAUGGUGUCUGUUCCCAUCAUGAUGGUCGGACUCUGACUGACUGCCAGGGAAAAAGAGGAAAGCAAAUUUAUUGUUGAUGCAACUGGAAACGAAAUGAGUAUUCAGAAAACUAGCGCAGAAUGUGGCUUCCUCCAGGCGAUGGCCUAUUCCCAGAACUGGGAGAAUUGAAAGCAGGCAUCCUCUGUGCCUGCAUUAUGAUAAAUUAAGGCCACUAGAAGGACAACAUAAUGCUACCGGAAACCAUCGGUCCCCUCUCCCCACUCCUCGAUCCAUUUCUAACCAAAUAUUCUCUCAGACCGUAAUCUAAUCCUUUUCGAUUUAUUUGCAGAAAAUCAAACAAGUGAGAAGCGAAGGGUCAAACGCCAAGUUGCCCGUUCCGCCGGACAAACUCAACAGGAUCAAUUUGCGCAUGGUAGAGGAGAAGAAAUAUUUACCCAAGCCCGAGACUGACAAAGAAAGCGCGGGCAAACC